AAACAUCAUGCAAAGAUCUCAAGGAAUAUAUUUCAAAAAUAUAUUUGACAAAAUUCAAAACCAAGCUUUAGCAAAAGGAAAGACAAACAUAUCCCAUAUCUAUAUUUAUCUAUAGUUAUAAAAAUUCAAAUAAUAUCAGAAAAAUGAAUUUAAAUAGCAGCAAUAAGAUCCUAAGCAAAAAAAUGUUUAUUAGAUGGAACAAAGCGUCAUAACCUCUUUCUAUACAGCACAUGACUCACAAAUAAGUAGACAGAGACAAUACCAACCUUCAA
rnacentral:misc_RNA from 1 species